rnacentral:rRNA from 1 species
CGCUGAACUUAAGCAUAUCAAUAAGCGGAGGAAAAGAAACUAACAAGGAUUCCCCUAGUAACGGCGAGUGAAGCGGGAAGAGCUCAAGCUUAAAAUCUCUGUGCAAGUUUUGCAUGGCGAAUUGUAGUCUAUGGAUGCGCUAUCAGUACAGCCGCGCGGGCCAAGUUCCUUGGAAGAGGACAGCAUGGAGGGUGAUACUCCCGUUCCUGCCUGUGCGUGUUGUGCGUACGAUGCGUUUUCUUUGAGUCGCGUUGUUUGGGAAUGCAGCGCAAAGUAGGUGGUAAAUUCCAUCUAAAGCUAAAUAUUGGUGCGAGACCGAUAGCGAACAAGUACCGUGAGGGAAAGAUGAAAAGAACUUUGAAAAGAGAGUUAAAGAGUACCUGAAACUGCUGAAAGGGAACCGGGUCGUUGCCAGUGUCUAUAAUCUGCGGCAUAUUUCAUUGUCGGAUGCGGCCGUGCGGCGCGUUUGGUAGUGGGUUCGUCCUGCACCGCGUGUUGCUGUGGUUGUGUUUGGUGGUGCCCUGUGCUGUGGUGGGACGUCAGAGUCAGUUCGUAUGCUGCGGGAAAUGGCUGCUGGGGAGGUAGGUCGGGGGUUCGCCCUCGGCUGUUAUAUCCUGGUGGACUAGUCGUCGUGGUUGGGACUGAGGUGCCUACAACGUGCUUUUGAGUGUGGAGGUUUCUUCGUUUGCGCGUCGGUUGGAUAGCUUGCUAUGCAGUUGGCGUUGUGUGCGGAUGGAUGUCUUUGCUAACUUGUUGCCGUUCGGGACUUUGACGAAAUGGCGCGAUCCGACCCGUCUUGAAACACGGACCAAGGAGUCUAACAUGUGUGCAAUGUUAGGGUGUGGAAACCCGAGCGCGAAUGAAAGUAAAGGGCAGUGUAUGCUGCCUGAGGUAGGAAACCUUUGCUCGUCAGGGGUGGCACUAUCGACCGAUCAUGAACCUUCGUGGUGAAAGAUUUGAGUAUGAGCACAUAUGUUGGUACCCGAAAGAUGGUGAACUAUGCCUGAGUAGGGUGAAGCCAGGGGAAACUCUGGUGGAAGCUCGUAGCGAUUCUGACGUGCAAAUCGAUCGUCAAACUUGGGUAUAGGGGCGAAAGACUAAUCGAACCAUCUAGUAGCUGGUUCCCUCCGAAAUUUCCCUCAGGAUAGCAGCAACUUAUUUACGAUAGUUUUAUGAGGUAAAGCGAAUGAUUAGAGGACUCGGGGAAGAAACUUCCUUGACCUAUUCUCAAACUUUAAAUCUGUAAGACCUGCAGGUUUCUUAAUUGAACUUGCGGAUGUGAAUAUCAAGUUGCUAGUGGGCCAUACGGGGUAAGCUCGUCUGGCG